GUUGUGAUAACGUCCCAAUUAAAUCAAGGGUUAAACUGCUGACGUGGGUGAUGAGAACUGGAGUCUGAGC